rnacentral:miRNA from 1 species
AGUAAAGAUGUGGUUUCACCAUGUUGGUCAGGCUGGUCUCAAACUCCUGACCUCAGGUGAUCCACCCACC